CCUACGGGAGGCAGCAGUGGGGAAUUGUUCGCAAUGGGCGCAAGCCUGACGACGCAACGCCGCGUGGAGGACGAAGAUCUUCGGGUCGUAAACUCCUGUCGAGCGGGACGAACGCUUCGCGGAUGAAUAAUCCGCGGAAUUGACGGUACCGCUAAAGGAAGCCCCGGCUAACUCCGUGCCAGCAGCCGCGGUAAUACGGGGGGGGCAAGCGUUGUUCGGAAUUACUGGGCGUAAAGGGCUCGUAGGCGGCCAACUAAGUCGGAUGUGAAAUCCCCAGGCUUAACCUGGGAACUGCAUCCGAUACUGGAUGGCUUGAAUCCGGGAGAGGGAUGCAGAAUUCCAGGUGUAGCGGUGAAAUGCGUAGAUAUCUGGAGGAAUACCGGUGGCGAAGGCGGCAUCCUGGACCGGCAUUGACGCUGAUGAGCGAAAGCUAGGGGAGCAAACGGGAUUAGAUACCCCGGUAGUCCUAGCCCUAAACGAUGAAUGCUUGGUGUGACGGGUAUCGAUCCCUGUCGUGCCGAAGCUAACGCAUUAAGCAUUCCGCCUGGGGAGUACGGUCGCAAGGCUGAAACUUAAAGGAAUUGACGG
rnacentral:rRNA from 1 species